UACAGAGGGUGCAAGCGUUAAUCGGAAUUACUGGGCGUAAAGCGUGCGUAGUCGGUUAUCUAAGUCUGGUGUGAAAUCCCCGGGCUCAACCUGGGAAUUGCACUGGAUACUGGCAGGCUAGAGUGCGGUAGAGGAUGGCGGAAUUCCCGGUGUAGCAGUGAAAUGCGUAGAGAUCGGGAGGAACAUCUGUGGCGAAGGCGGCCAUCUGGACCAGCACUGACACUGAGGCACGAAAGCGUGGGGAGCAAACAGG
rnacentral:rRNA from 1 species